rnacentral:rRNA from 1 species
UACGUAGGGGGCAAGCGUUGUCCGGAAUCAUUGGGCGUAAAGAGCGCGUAGGCGGUCCGGUAAGUCGGUUGUGAAAACUGGGGGCUCAACCCUCAGAGGCCGACCGAUACUGUCGGGCUAGAGUCCGGAAGAGGCGAGUGGAAUCCCUGGUGUAGCGGUGAAAUGCGCAGAUAUCAGGAGGAACACCAAUGGCGAAGGCAGCUCGCUGGGACGGUACUGACGCUGAGGCGCGAAAGCGUGGGGAGCAAACAGG